AAAGGCCCAUAUUGCAAGCGUGGAGUGAGCAAUAACAGGCCUGCACAGCAUAGAGACGUCUACCUUGAGACUGGACUAUAUGACCUGGAGGUUAUGAAGUUGUUAACGUUAAUUCUAUGGGUCCUCGCAAUGCAGUGGACGCAGGCCCUGGGCGAGUACUCGCAAAGUGACGGUACGGAGUUGAAGAAGGCCGAGAAAGUGCCUACCAUUUCAGCUGAUACGAAAGAGCAUGAACAGGAGUCCUCUGCACCAGCUGUCUCAACACCAGAUGACCCUGAAGACCCGGAUCCAUCUGUUUCUGCUGCUUUUGAAUCGAGCCAGCAGUCUGAUGAAGCGUCCUUCUUGAACGCCAUUGCGCGGUUAUUGGGAGAACUGCUGAGCUGGAUAUACGACGUGGUCACUCACGACUUCUGCAGUGAUUCAACGGCGGAAAGCCAGCAGGCCAGGCGCCUGUCUGCACAUGGCGACGAAAUGGAUCGUGAAACGCAUGCCAGUGCCCUGGCCAUGUCAGACAACGAUGCGCUGAAACGGACCUCUAGGUGGAAAGUAUGGAGGAAGCAUAAACCGCCAUGUACCGAGAAGACUGUCGUCAAUCGUAUCUCGUGCUUCAUGCGUCGGGCGAACAUGGGAUCUUACUUACGGAGGGAGCACGCACCGAUUCGAAGCGGCAUCUGCGAGACGCUAUGCGAGUCUUGCGUCUGCGAUUUUGAUCCAAAGUCUUCUUGUUCCAUGCAACUAGAAGCUUGGAAGCAGAAAACAGCACCCAUCGUCUACCAGGUCUACGCUGUACUCCAUUACUCUCGUUUGCUUUGCUUCUGCGCUGCUGUGAAGACCCUGGUGUGCGAUUUCCUGCGUAAACAAUACAUCUACAAGGUGGUCGUCUGCAUGCCACUCCUGGUGCUCUUCGUUAUGAUGUGCAGGGUCAUACUGACCAUCGUGCAGUUGAGGAAGUAUUUGGAGAACUCACGGACACCUGCAGCUUACACCGCAGAGUGCUCGUACCACCACAGCGAAGAAGAGGACACUAUGGGCCAUCGUCCGUUAGAAGGUCUUCGCAGGCCUGCUGCUGCAGCAACCACAGUGCAUAAGCACCAUAACAAUCACGCAGACAUUUACAUCAACAGCUUGAACCAGACGCUAGCAGCGUUAAAGACAUUCAGUAGCUUCGUGGAGACGACGCGUGCCUACUACAAGACCAGGAUUGACGGGGAGCUACGCUCCCUGCUAGAGGCGACGUUCAAGCUCGCUGGGACAAAGCCCUAUUAAGGUGGUCUCUGUUCGCAGCAUCGACAGCAGCGGCGCCUACGAGCUGUGGCACUAACGGUGGACAACGUUUCCAGUACAUGCAAAGGGAUAAGCGUAACGCGAAUAAACAGGUCCGAAACCGUAUAAAUCACCUGCUUCCACGUCAUUGUUGCACUGCAUGUUAACCCACACGUAAAACAAACACGUGCCCGUUAUAUUUUUGUUCGUGAAUUUCGCUCGCGGGCUGACAAGCCAGACUG